rnacentral:rRNA from 1 species
GCCACACUAUCACGCACGCACUCGAGUCACACCUCCCACGAAGAACCAACAGGAGGCGCGGAUCCCACCGAUAAAUAACCCCGCCUCGCCGCUCCUCCCCAAAAUCAAUCACCGAUCGCUCGGGGUUCCCGGCAUGACGAUGAUGGCCAUGGCCAAGGCGCCCUGCCUCUGCGCGCGCCCGUCCCUCGCCGCGCGCGCGAGGCGGCCGGGGCCGGGGCCGGCGCCGCGCCUGCGACGGUGGCGACCCAAUGCGACGGCGGGGAAGGGGGUCGGCGAGGUGUGCGCCGCGGUUGUCGAGGCGGCGACGAAGGCCGAGGAUGAGGACGACGACGAGGAGGAGGCGGUGGCGGAGGACAGGUACGCGCUCGGCGGCGCGUGCAGGGUGCUCGCCGGAAUGCCCGCGCCGCUGGGCGCCACCGCGCUCGCCGGCGGGGUCAAUUUCGCCGUCUACUCCGGUGGAGCCACCGCCGCGGCGCUCUGCCUCUUCACGCCAGAAGAUCUCAAGGCGGGUGACGGAGGAGGUUUCCCUUGACCCCCUGAUGAAUCGGACUGGGAACGUGUGGCAUGUCUUCAUUGAAGGCGAGCUGCACGACAUGCUUUACGGGUACAGGUUCGACGGCACCUUUGCUCCUCACUGCGGGCACUACCUUGAUAUUUCCAAUGUCGUGGUGGAUCCUUAUGCUAAGGCAGUGAUAAGCCGAGGGGAGUAUGGCGUUCCGGCGCGUGGUAACAAUUGCUGGCCUCAGAUGGCUGGCAUGAUCCCUCUUCCAUAUAGCACGUUUGAUUGGGAAGGCGACCUACCUCUAAGAUAUCCUCAAAAGGACCUGGUAAUAUAUGAGAUGCACUUGCGUGGAUUCACGAAGCAUGAUUCAAGCAAUGUAGAACAUCCGGGUACUUUCAUUGGAGCUGUGUCGAAGCUUGACUAUUUGAAGGAGCUUGGAGUUAAUUGUAUUGAAUUAAUGCCCUGCCAUGAGUUCAACGAGCUGGAGUACUCAACCUCUUCUUCCAAGAUGAACUUUUGGGGAUAUUCUACCAUAAACUUCUUUUCACCAAUGACGAGAUACACAUCAGGCGGGAUAAAAAACUGUGGGCGUGAUGCCAUAAAUGAGUUCAAAACUUUUGUAAGAGAGGCUCACAAACGGGGAAUUGAGAUGAUCCUGGAUGUUGUCUUCAACCAUACAGCUGAGGGUAAUGAGAAUGGUCCAAUAUUAUCAUUUAGGGGGGUCGAUAAUACUACAUACUAUAUGCUUGCACCCAAGGGAGAGUUUUAUAACUAUUCUGGCUGUGGGAAUACCUUCAACUGUAAUCAUCCUGUGGUUCGUCAAUUCAUUGUAGAUUGUUUAAGAUACUGGGUGAUGGAAAUGCAUGUUGAUGGUUUUCGUUUUGAUCUUGCAUCCAUAAUGACCAGAGGUUCCAGUCUGUGGGAUCCAGUUAACGUGUAUGGAGCUCCAAUAGAAGGUGACAUGAUCACAACAGGGACACCUCUUGUUACUCCACCACUUAUUGACAUGAUCAGCAAUGACCCAAUUCUUGGAGGCGUCAAGCUCAUUGCUGAAGCAUGGGAUGCAGGAGGCCUCUAUCAAGUAGGUCAAUUCCCUCACUGGAAUGUUUGGUCUGAGUGGAAUGGGAAGUACCGGGACAUUGUGCGCCAAUUCAUUAAAGGCACUGAUGGAUUUGCUGGUGGUUUUGCCGAAUGUCUUUGUGGAAGUCCACACCUAUACCAGGCAGGAGGAAGGAAACCUUGGCACAGUAUCAACUUUGUAUGUGCACAUGAUGGAUUUACACUGGGUGAUUUGGUAACAUAUAAUAACAAGUACAAUUUACCAAAUGGGGAGAACAAUAGAGAUGGAGAAAAUCACAAUCUUAGCUGGAAUUGUGGGGAGGAAGGAGAAUUCGCAAGAUUGUCUGUCAAAAGAUUGAGGAAGAGGCAGAUGCGCAAUUUCUUUGUUUGUCUCAUGGUUUCUCAAGGAGUUCCAAUGUUUUACAUGGGCGAUGAAUAUGGCCACACAAAAGGGGGCAACAACAAUACAUACUGCCAUGAUUCUUAUGUCAAUUAUUUUCGCUGGGAUAAAAAAGAACAAUACUCUGACUUGCACAGAUUCUGCUGCCUCAUGACCAAAUUCCGCAAGGAGUGCGAGGGUCUUGGCCUUGAGGACUUUCCAACGGCCGAACGGCUGCAGUGGCAUGGUCAUCAGCCUGGGAAGCCUGAUUGGUCUGAGAAUAGCCGAUUCGUUGCCUUUUCCAUGAAAGAUGAAAGACAGGGCGAGAUCUAUGUGGCCUUCAACACCAGCCACUUACCGGCCGUUGUUGAGCUCCCAGAGCGCGCAGGGCGCCGGUGGGAACCGGUGGUGGACACAGGCAAGCCAGCACCAUAUGACUUCCUCACCGACGACUUACCUGAUCGCGCUCUCACCAUACACCAGUUCUCUCAUUUCCUCAACUCCAACCUCUACCCCAUGCUCAGCUACUCAUCGGUCAUCCUAGUAUUGCGCCCUGAUGUUUGAGAGACAAAUAUAUACAGUAAAUAAUAUGUCUAUAUGUAGUCCUUUGGCGUAUUAUCAGUGUGCACAAUUGCUCUAUUGCCAGUGAUCUAUUCGAUCCACAGAUACAUGUGCAAACUGCAAAGUUUCUGGUAAUCAGAGAAGUUUUUCC